rnacentral:rRNA from 1 species
AACCUGCCCCAUGCUCCAGAAUAGCUCUUGGAAACGGGUGGUAAUGCUGGAUGCUCCAACUUGACGCAUGUCUUGUUGGGAAAGUGUUUAGUGGCAUGGGGAUGGGGGUCGCGUCCUAUCAGCUUGUAGGCGGGGUAAUGGCCCACCUAGGCUUCGACGGGUAGCCGGCCUGAGAGGGCGGACGGCCACAUUGGGACUGAGAUACGGCCCAGACUCCUACGGGGAGGCAGCAGUGGGGAAUAUUGCGCAAUGGGGAAACCCUGACGCAGCGACGCCGCGUGCGGGAUGAAGGCCUUCGGGUUGUAAACCGCUUUUGAUUGGGGAGCAAGCCUUUUGGGGUGAGUGUACCUUUCGAAUAAGCGCCGGCUAACUACAUGCCAGCAGCCGCGGGUAAAUA